rnacentral:SRP_RNA from 1 species
GCUGGGCACGAUGGCACGUGCCUGUAGUCCCAACUAUUCGGGAGAUUGAGGCUGGAGGAUCGCUUCAGUCCAAGAGUUCUGGGCUGUAGUGAGAUAUGCUGAUUGGGUGUCAGCACUAAGUUCAGCAUCAAUAUGGUGACCUCCCAGGAGCCGGGACCAUCAGGUUGCCUAAGGAGGGGUGAACCGGCCCAGGUCUGAAACGAAGCAGGUCAAAAUUCCCGUGCUGAUCAGUAGUGGGAUCGCACCUGUGAAUAGCCACCGCACUCCAGCCUGGGCAACAUGGUGAGACCCCGUUUCU